rnacentral:lncRNA from 1 species
GGAUCCUUUGCAACAAACACACAGGGCAGGGAAGAUGUGCUGAUUGGUGUUUCUAUACAAUUAAUCCCAUAUGGGGAAUUAACUUUCAAAUACUAAUGAAGUGACUUUUUUGUCUCAGUUAUAAAAUAUACUGAGCUCAUCAUGCAAACAAUGUAACACAUUUACACUAUCCCACUCUCAUAAUAAGUGUAGUGGGCUUAUAGUAUUUUUUAA